UACAGGGGUGCAAACGUUGCUCGGAAUUAUUGGGCGUAAAGCGCACGUAGGCGGUCUGUUAUGUCGGAUGUGAAAGCCCUUGGCUCAACUGAGGAAGUGCAUCCGAAACUGGCAGGCUAGAGUACGUAAGAGGGUCGCGGAAUUCCCGGUGUAGAGGUGAAAUUCGUAGAUAUCGGGAGGAACGACCGGUGGCGAAGGCGGCGACCUGGGACGAUACUGACGCUGAGGUGCGAAAGCGUGGGGAGCAAACGGG
rnacentral:rRNA from 1 species